rnacentral:rRNA from 1 species
GACGAACGCUGGCGGCGUGCUUAACACAUGCAAGUCUUAGGAGAACGUUUCUUCGGAAACAAGUAAACUGGCGAACGGGUGAGUAACACGUGAAUAAUCUACCCCCGAGACUGGGAUAACCUGGUGAAAACUAGGCUAAUACCGGAUAAGACCACGUCCCGCAAGGGAUGCGGGAAAAAGGAGGCUCAACCUCCACUUGGGGAUGAGUUCGCGGGGCCAUUAGCUUGUUGGUGAGAUAACAGCUCACCAAGGCUACGAUGGUUAGCCGGCCUGAGAGGGUGAACGGCCACACUGGAACUGAGACACGGUCCAGACUCCUACGGGAGGCAGCAGUGGGGAAUAUUGCGCAAUGGGCGAAAGCCUGACGCAGCAACACCGCGUGAGCGAUG